CAGCUAUAUCACACUGAAACACCGAUUCUCGUACGAUCACCGAAGUUAAGCAACGUUGAGUCUGUUCAGUACAUAGAUGCGUGACCGUUCUAGAGUAUCAGGUGCUGUAAG